CAAAGUGUUGACAAAGCGUUAAAAGGGAGGUACAAAUGUUAAUACGUAUUCUAAAAGGUUUGGCAAUUGUCACAAUGUCACCUUUUAUACAAAAUGUAUGUGUUCGUGCCUCAAGUUAAGAGUUUCAUUAAUGUCUGAAAGAUUUUAAUGGAGCUGUAUAGAUCUUUUGUGGUCACAAAUUGUAUUACGGCAAAACUAACGGGAUGACUUCAUAAACCCAUCCUCUGUUUGUUAUUCAUAAUGGUUCAUAUAUAUUUGCGUCGACUUAACAAUCGAUACCAGCACUGUAUAAACUUUUCGACAUACAAUGACUAAAUUAAAUUUGACAUUUCAAUUAAACUGUGUAUUAGUUUACUAUGAACGUCGAGUUAAUCAAGUACAUAAGUGUUGAAAACCGUCACGCUAAAUGCCUAAGAAUCCCGAAUAAAAAGUAAUAAAUCGCCAUCAAAGGGACGUGUUGGUAGUUAUUCUAUAUAUUGAGGAUUUUGUCAAAUCAUUGAAGUCGUCUGUCAUUGCAGUUAAAAGAACUGAUUUGAAGAUAUAUACCUUGGAUACGUAAAUGUUUGAACUGAGGCGGUUGACCUUCAUCGCCGAACAAGUUCCGAAAAUGAAGAUCGCGAGAAGGAAUAUACAGAAAAAAAUUUGCCCCCAGUAGCAGUAUUUGAUCCUGUAACGAAUUUAGUGUUAGAUUCUAAAAGGAUAAGCGUGGAGUUUUGUUUAAUUAAGAGGAAAAUUAAGCACGAUAUUUCAAUCAUUCGUAACAGUUUUCGAGUUUUAAACUUAUUUCUGUGGUGCAUGAUAAUUUAAAAGGAAAAAGUUGUGAGAAACUUUUCUUGGUGUCUAAAGUUAAUAUACCGAAAGAUAUAGAAUUGGUUUUGGACUAUGGAUAGACCAAGAGAGAUAGGAUUCUAGGAAACCCUUGAAUGACCGGAUAACUCUGUCGCUUCUAAAUUAAAUGUAAAAUGUCAAUUAUCAAUUGAGGCUAUAAAUUGUACAUGUACAGUGACAAAUGAUAACAGUGUGAAUGUGAAAAAUUGUGAGCUCUGCACAUCUACCUCAAGCAAUUUUCGUGCUAAUGGCAGAAUAAAGUAAUUAAAAUAGCUACCAAGGUGGAAAUCAUCAGAAAUUUAUGUAAAGAGGAACCUCCUAAAAGAAAAGACAAUUCUGAAACAAAAUCAACUAAUGUACAAAAGAUUGAUGAAACUCAUCAACAAAGGACAAACAACACAAACACCUCUUAUGUUGUCCCGAAAAAACGUCAGAUCAAGCACAGAAAUU